CCUACGGGAGGCAGCAGUGAGGAAUAUUGGUCAAUGGACGAGAGUCUGAACCAGCCAAGUAGCGUGAAGGAUGACUGCCCUAUGGGUUGUAAACUUCUUUUAUAUGGGAAUAAAACGUUCCACGUGUGGGAUUUUGUAUGUACCAUAUGAAUAAGGAUCGGCUAACUCCGUGCCAGCAGCCGCGGUAAUACGGAGGAUCCGAGCGUUAUCCGGAUUUAUUGGGUUUAAAGGGAGCGUAGGUGGAUUGUUAAGUCAGUUGUGAAAGUUUGGGGCUCAACCGUAAAAUUGCAGUUGAAACUGGCAGUCUUGAGUACAGUAGAGGUGGGCGGAAUUCGUGGUGUAGCGGUGAAAUGCUUAGAUAUCACGAAGAACUCCGAUUGCGAAGGCAGUUCACUGGACUGCAACUGACACUGAGGCUCGAAAGUGUGGGUAUCAAACAGGAUUAGAUACCCCAGUAGUC
rnacentral:rRNA from 1 species